GCAUGGUUUUUGAAUUUGUGGUAGGUCCCUUCUCCAUGGGCCUCUCAUAGUGAAUUCCAUGCCAGAGAAAUCAACCACCCCGAACCAUUGCCAGACCUAUACCUGUAAGUCAUGAGCACUGAUGUGGGUGGCACAGCA